rnacentral:rRNA from 1 species
AGAGUUUGAUCAUGGCUCAGGAUGAACGCUGGCGGCGUGCCUAAUACAUGCAAGUCGAACGAAGGUAGCAAUACCUUAGUGGCGAACGGGUGAGUAACACGUAGGUAACCUGCCUUUCAGUUGGGGAUAACCGAGGGAAACUUUGGCUAAUACCGAAUUCGUGCUUCGAAGGCAUCUUCGGAGCAUAAAAGGGGCUUCAAAGCCUCGCUGAUUGAUGGACCUGCGGCGCAUUAGUUAGUUGGUGAGAUAACAGCCCACCAAGACGAGGAUGCGUAGCCGACCUGAGAGGGUGAUCGGCCACACUGGAACUGAGACACGGUCCAGACUCCUACGGGAGGCAGCAGUAGGGAGUUUUCGGCAAUGGGGGAAACCCUGACCGAGCAACGCCGCGUGAGUGAUGAAGGUCUUCGGAUUGUAAAGCUCUGUUAUAAGGGAAGAACGGCAGUUAGAGGAAAUGCUAGCUGUUUGACGGUACUUUAUGAGAAAGCCACGGCUAACUACGUGCCAGCAGCCGCGGUAAUACGUAGGUGGCAAGCGUUAUCCGGAAUUAUUGGGCGUAAAGAGUGAGCAGGCGGCAGUUUAAGUUUGGAGUCAAAGCGAGGGGCUCAACCCCUUAACGCUCUGAAAACUGAACAGCUAGAGUGCGAGAGAGGUAAGUGGAAUUCCAUGUGUAGCGGUGAAAUGCGUAGAUAUAUGGAGGAACACCAGUGGCGAAGGCGACUUACUAGCUCGAUACUGACGCUCAGUCACGAAAGCGUGGGUAGCAAAUAGGAUUAGAUACCCUAGUAGUCCACGCUGUAAACGAUGAGAACUAAGUAUUGCCGUGAGGCAGUGCUGAAGCUAACGCAUUAAGUUCUCCGCCUGGGGAGUACGGUCGCAAGACUGAAACUUAAAUGAAUUGACGG